UGCAGGACAACGGAGAUCCGCAGACUCUGAGGGUAGCUACAGCUGUGCCAGUGUCUGCCGCGAGGACCAAAAGGUGACCCUCGGAGGAUCCAGCAGCUAAAGCAACUCCGAAGGGGUGGAAUGCUAUGCAGAUGCAUUCGAAACCCACCUGGAAGAAUGUAAUUAACGCUUCAGAACCUCGGACAACAUAGUCUCAAAGCAGAAUGAAGUACUGCUCAGACUUUAAACGGAACACUCGCUUAUCGAAUUAAUCGGAAACUGAGGAAUCACCUGCGUCGUCCACAGAAGCUUAUGCCUCCUCCACAAUGCGAUAUUCUUGUCGUGACCCGCCGUGGCGAACACCUCAUCGUCAGGGUGCACAGCGAGUCCCCACAAUUGUCUACCAUGGCCAAAGACAACUUGAUUGAAUCUUCUCUGAAGAGAACCCUCCAGGAUAUUAUUCCUUGUGGUUCCCACGUAUAUAUUCCCGUCGUUUCGGCCAGGUCGCUGCGGGUAGAUGCUGCGAACACCGCCUACAGCUUCCGGGAAUCCCACGCUGCAAUCUUGCGAUCCUUCUCUCCACCAGAGAGUAAAGUACCCUCCGACAACAUGACGAGGGAGCUGAUGCCCUUGUUGUGCGCUUCGAAUUCCAUUCGAACGAAAUAGGCACCGUCAGCGUCCACUGAAUAGACAGUGAUGAAUCCAUCACUGUCUGCUGUCACGACAUCGCCGUCUUGCUCGAACUGGAUGCUCGUCACAAGGUCAGAUGUCCUCUACCAUGCGUGAUCAAGAGAUUAUCAUCAAGAGGAUGAAACGCAGCUCCAGUUAGGUCCUCUUGCAUUGUCUGCAAGAAUUCAUCAAAUUCAUCAACUAGACUUGAACAUCCAGGGUUAUGAAGUUCGUUCAAAAAACUUACCGCCACUUUGCCCAACAAAUGACCCCAUUGCCACUGCCACACGGAGAGUAUCGCCUCCCUGCCAGCGUCCACCGCCAAUACAUAGCUGCCUCCGUUCUGCGGAAACGUAUCCAAAAGCGUUACGCGAUUCUUUUAUUUAGAAUGCAUGCGCGAGAACACGAUACUUUACCAGCUGCGAGAACGCCAGUGCAGAGACGCCCAUCUGGAACUCAGUCAUCCCGAACACGUAAAGGGUGAGCAGGGUCUCUGUCGACCAUAUGCGGACGUGUGGCUGCGCCUUUCUGUGUCUGCCAGCUUUUUGUCCGGACGCCACCAACUCUCUGCUUGGGUGAACCUGUCGAGCGACGUGUUGAAAUGAUGCUUGCUAGCUUAGAUUAAUUACUGGCCUGCAGAUCUUUACGCAUUUAUGGUGAUGUCCUCCGUAUGGCCGACGUAGUGCCGUUGUGCAUUUUCCUCUCUGUCGAAGAGAACAGCCACGGCAGCGACGUAGUAAAGGAGCUCUCCGCUGGGCAAGACCCAGAGAUUUCUCCGUGUAUCGGUUCCCCGAUACCCGUAAACCCACUCCAGCUGCAGCUUCUUAUCUGGCGGCGAGUUAUCCACCGGAGGCAGGUGCGAGGGCGGAUAGAAUGAGCGUCUCAGCCCCCUGAUCGUCACCCUGGCCGGUUCGUCGCGCAACACUUCGACGACGCUGUAAUCUGUUGGCGUAGAGCACACGUUCAUCAAUCGAUCGGCUUACUUGCAACAUUAGAUCGUGUAAAGAGUAGGUCAACGACAUGGAGAACCGUUUACUCGGACGACGUCGGAGUCAGGGGCGUACAGAGCCCGCGGUCUGCUCUUGCUGCGCGCUCGUCGCUGCCGACCUAUAUCCUCCACUACGGUGGGAGGACCUCUCGAUCUCGAUCUUCUCGCCGGGGACGCUGUCACUGUGCCAACUAUCCCUAUCCCGGAUCCCGUGCCCAGGUAGAACGUGUCCACGUCUGCGAACUCGUUCCUCAAUUGGGAGAAGCUUCUCACCUGGUGGCAAUUCAAGUGGGAACAUUCUUCAAUUUGUACUUAUGUUUCUGUACUGAUAAAACGAUAGUCUUAUCCAUAAGAUGGCAAGGUAGUUCAUCAAAAUAGGGUAUUGAUGUUAGGGAACGUUCCUUCCAAUAUUGCAGAUGCAAUCAGCGCGUGACUAAUGGUAUACCGAAGAAAAAUAGAAGGAUGUGGUGUGAGGGAGCGGCCGCCGUUAAAAUGAAUGAACCAAGACAUUUUCUAAUGCUGGGAUCGUAUCGCGGACGUCACCGUUGACGUAGACAUCGUUGCUGCCCGUAUACGAUGAUGUACAAGGCAGCCAAAUGCUCGCUAGGGAAAAUUGGCCAAUUUGAAAUUCAUAUACGGUCGUGACCUGAAAAGAUGGAUCUCUGACCUUUUUCACGGGGGCCUCCGACCCACUUGCGCUACUUGAACCACCACUUUCGAAUUAGUUACGUAAUAAUGCUACCGGUACAUUUCUGGGGAAUUAAUGCUGAAGGUGAUCAAACUUGUGAGUAACUAGAUGACAAUAUUGAAAACAAAACACUCGUCUUUGUCUGCUAUCUUGUGAAUGUACCGGAUGAUUCAUUAAUUUGUAAACCCCAUCGUUCAUAGGCCAGUACUUGAGAUCUUUACACAUUAGCUACUACAAACUUAUUAGUGAUGCUAUUAUGUCUAAAGAUAAUUGCCAAAAACUUCUGUGAACGUCAGCUGAGGAUGUUAAAAAUUAUCGACUACACAGAGUGCAUAUUGGAACAGUUCUUCCUUUCAUAUGAUUUUUCUUGCAAUAACUGGCAAAUUGAUGGAUUUAAUAGUUUCUUAACAAUGUCUACGAAACGAUUCAUGGUAGAUUUAAGCGACGACCCGAUUCCAUUUAGAGGCAAGAAGUCGACCCCAAUAUCGUCACGCUUCGUUUCGACGCUUCUGCCCCCGCCGGCCCAUGCAUAUUUAUGGACAAACAUUAUUCAAGCAGAUUUUAUAAGUACGAUGCCGAGCCAAUGUCUUCAGAUUUGCAUAAAUCGCUGAUAAACUUUCGAGUCGCCCACGUUUCGAGUCGUUCACGAAUGUAUGAAGAUGGAACGUAACAUCUGAGUUUGGCUGGGGAUACGCGAACAAUCGAAAUGCGUUUACCUCUUGGCCUGAAACUGUGAACAUCCUUUUGGCCCCAUUCAUCUUCAGCACCUGCCCAAGGUCCUCCAGUACCUCCUCGAAUGGCUGCGAGGUGCGGAGGUUCAACAAAACGCGGCACUGGAAAUUAAUUCGACAAAAUAGUGAUCAACUUUCUCAAAUCAUUAUUCACAAUACUCUCUAAUUUACAAUCGAGUAAGCAGGGCGAUUGUGACAACGAGUCUUUGCAGUCUCGGUGGAAUUGCCAAGCUUCAAAAUUAUUUGUAUGCCUGAGAAGGUUCUAGUUUCACUGGUUUCGUGUCACAGACCGAUUACAAACUUUUGCUUAACAUUACGUGCAACCAGCAGAUGUAUCUAGAUGAUAUUUUUCUGUUAGUCACCUGGACGGUGUGGUCGUGAUUGUUGACGAUUCGUAUGACGCGUCCGGAGGAAGGUUUUCCGCCUCCCGGGGGUGGUGCUUCGUCGGUGAUGGAAGCUUUUCUGCUGAGACUUGCCACCGCUGGUGGUCUGCUCUGCCAGCCUCCGACACUGCCUCCGACACCUGCUCCACCCCUACUGCCUCCGCCACUUGGGCUGGUGUACCAGGUGUUGUUCUUCUUUCCGUAGCUGGCCGGCUGUUCCCCAAAAAGCAUUUCAUCAAUUAAACCAUCUUUCCCUAAACUGGGGCGUAUUUCGGGACCUGCAACAUAUCGGCCGGCAGCGAAAUGACUUCAAAGGAAUCGCUCAUCAACACGACGAAGCUGUCGCAGCCCUCCCAGGACUCGGGGCCGCAGGAUUCUGGCUCGGAAUCAGUAAAGGAGUCCGCCUUCUCGCAGCCGGCGACAAAGUCCGGCUCCAGGUCCGAGCGGGACGAGGAACUUGCCGACUCAAUGGUGGACCCAAAUCACUGUUGCCCCCCCGUGAAACGAUAUUCACUCCAAAGAAACGGUUCCACAGACCGGACGGUUCACAGUUGUUCACAUUUUUUUGUUCACUGCUGAUCACGAGGGCCACUCGACGAUCACCGUGAUUGGAAGACUUCACACGAACGUCGCGAAUGGUAAAAAUUGGUAAAACCGGAGGAACGCUGGCGUUCAGCCAUCCAGUGCAAAGGAACCGAUCAAAAACGUGGCCGUCGAAGGGAUACGAUUGUCUGGAGAGAGGGUUGUGUGGCCACUAGGUGCACCCCCGGCUGUGCUCGAUGGACAACUGGAGGCGGGGUGUGCCAUUCGGGCCGAGAAACCAGCCCCGGGGCUGCAACAUCCCCUACCCACCAUUCCCCGCUUUUGCGGAGAGCCAUCGUGUCUCAAGGACAAACACCCACCCCUCGGUUUGGUCUUGGCCGAACCACGGGAUCACCACCGGCUCCGAAAUUCGAAAAUCACGCCAAUUUUCAUCCCCCUUUGCUCUGGCACCCGUGUUUCCACCCCCCCUUUUUUUAUCUCUCGCGUGUCGUAAACAGUGUUUCAUGACCGACUUAUCGUUACGUACACCCUUACCCUUUUUUCGCGAUAACCUUAAGGCAGAUAUUUCCUUUGUGUAAUCAGACCCUCGCGCCCUUGCCCACAUUGUAGACAAAUAUAGCCCGAAUGACAGGGUUGUUGAGGUAUUUUAGAAUUUCAUCGGCCGACCCGCGGCUAUUUUUGGACGCACCGGGAAGUGCUACAUUGUUCCGGUGAAUUUUUGGAAGGUUCUAAUUCUAGGAACCCUCGCUGGUGCUAAAUUUACCGCGUGAUUGUUGGCACAGUGUCUACGAGUGCAGAUUUGUUAUAGGAUUUGUUAUAAAAUUUCAUUUUCCUUGAUGGCUGAUAUCGUGCCCCUGUACAACUUUUUACAGAGAUAUUGUUCUUCAAAUUUUCUUGGAAGCUAUUUGAAUUUUAUUCAUUUGACAUCGUGGUUGAUGUCGUGGCGCAUUCGAUCAGAUUAACUUUUUCUUUGGAUUUAUAGGAUGCAACAAAAUUAAAGUGACAAUCACUGAGAUCAAGUUUAACUUUUUGAAGCUGUGUGGGAAAUUAUUUAUGAUCCCCCAUAUAUGUAUAGAACAUUCGUCAUUGUCACUACAUAUGCAAUACCACAUUUUACUAAUGAUUCUCGUCUCCAUUUUCAGGGUGGUGCCAAGGAUAGCUUCUCAAAACUUGAUUGGAGGAUAGUCUGCGUCGUAUCUUGGAAGGAGCUAAUCAUGAUAGACAGCUGGUAACACGGAUAUCUGGAACGCUGACAGACACCCGAAGUCAAGGGUGCAGUCGGCGAACGAUAUACUCAUUGAAAAAUGGUUCGGCCGACCAAUAACCGGAUUCAUCGUCGUGCAGUCGCAAAGCUAUGCCAGCUUUGAUGGGAUUGGUAUGAUAAUGGAAGCAUAGAUUAACACAGGGUGAAGGUCGGACCACCGCCUCACACACCCGAGCAACCCUUCCGGCAGCCUAUCCUUUCUGUGACGAAUCGUGCGGUCAGUUAGUUAAGUAUUGCUGUUCAUUUUAGGACAGGAUUGCAAUUCUAUCAGCAAGAUCAAAAUGGUAUAUCUUGCUCCAUGUUAACUAACAAUAAGCUGGCUAAUGAAUUCCUUUCUUGUUCUAAUGCGGGAUCGCAAACCCUAACGAAGGUUCUUCUAAAAAUAACCACAGUGGACAACGAAGGGCUGAGCGAAACCUAAUAAGUAUGACAACAUAAUCCGGACGACUGUUAACGGGCUCGAGGCACGAGUCUUGUAAACGAGACACAUUGCCAGUGAAAAAAACACGUUUAAAUUAACUAGCGUCGCCGGUGAAAAUCACGUGCUGGCCCCUUAACGAGCCUCGUGAAUUCCGUCCAAGGCUACCGGCCUCUUUAUUGCAACUAUCUGGAAGGACUUUCGCCCCAUUGCGUUCCACAAAAGCGGCGACCAGGUACAACCCUUAACAGGCGGGUCAAGCACUUUUUAUUCGAGUGAAGUUACUCCGAGGACGUGUCAAUUGAUCGAAAAAGGGGAUGGAAAAAGAAAAAUGGAAGUCGCAGGACCUCCAUUCACAGAGUCCAGAACGUUCGCAUCGUAAUUUAAGAGGACAGCCUCGUAAAUUACGAUCCGCAGUCGCGCGUACGCGCGACCCGAUGCACGUCCUCGGUGCAAGGCCAAGGUCACGGUGCAACAAUCUUUCGGCCGAUGGUAUGCACCGCCGAUCGAAUGGAGGGUGCAACGAAAGUACGCGUGGGUGCACCCUCCGCGGGCCUGGGUUCACCAUGGGUGCUACAACCCUUAACCUUUUCACGCAUUUACGCGGUCGUGCACCCCUUGCGUUGAUCCCUCCUUCAUAAUCUCAUCCCAGCUGGUCUAUCAAUUACCAAUGUAAUAUUGCGAUUCAAGAAAAUCAUCCGUCUCCAACCUCGAUAAACUAUUUUCCAGAAAUUUGUCUGGUGGGCUACCUUAGCUGACUCAACUGUGCAUUGGGGAUCAAUGGCGACCUUCAAUCGCCGCCACUUCUUCGUAGUCUCAUGGCAGAGUAAAUAAGGAAACUGUAGGCUUUUCAUGAGACAUUGUGAAAAUUGCACGAUGUAUUAUUCAAGUCACUGUAGCUGCUAGACAGCAAGAAGCAGUACUCUCACCCUCUCAGAUCUCGAAAACGAGUUCUUCCUCAUCGAUACGAACAGAAUGCAACAAAGAUCAAGAGUCUCUUCUAUGAAUGGAAGACUCCAUUCGACGAAGUCAGGGUGAAUAUAUUUGUUGACCAUUUACCUCGAUGAUAAGAGACCGACGAAAGGUCGCGUCGUUGUACUUCAACCCUUCACCUUUGCCUGAACGGUCAUUGACCAGGGAUUAUCAUUCUUGCCAACCAUUCGAUGUCACCGAGAUCACCAGUCGUUGAACCACCAAACAAAAAUCAUUCGAGAUACCAAUAUUGUUCUGUUUCACACUCAGGAUCAAGGUUUUGGCUACGUGAAAAAAUAUCGUUGUCUAAUGGCGGCAAAAGGCGAGUCAUGGUUGGACAGUGGACGUUAGAAGAUUGAUCGAGCAGGGAUAAAAAGCUCGCACCCUCGCCGAAGCAUCAGGCUCGUGGCAAGAUGGCCGGUUAACCAACGUAGAACGGAUUAUAUUUCAUUUCGAAGUGGUCGCAGUCAACCGUGGCAGGAGGGCUGCUUAUGCAUGCAAGGGUUGAAAUCGUAAUUGACAUAUAUUACUGGGGGUGCGUGACGGCCGAGCGUGCCGCGACCGAGCUGAGUGUGACGCAAGGGUGGUCGUCCUGCGAAUGUUCUGCGACAAGCGUGCCGCGGAGGGAUAAAAGGCACAACGAGUGCCACAGAGUCGGGAUGCCGCAGUGAUUUACAUAUCGUCGAUCGGCACACGUCAUGUAACCGCGUUCCUAUACGCACCGAACACCCACAACACGUUUCGGACCGGUUACUUUUUCGCUAGGACUCUUUUCGAAUCACAGCCCUCCAUCCAUAUUCAUCGCGGUCGAACGAUAAAACUGGAGUCAGCCUCGCAAAACGCAAAACCCGCACGAUUUGAAAAGAAAGUUUACUCAGAGUCGGUAGACAUUUGAUGAGGUCGCGAGAAACACACCAAAAGGGAUUGUAAGAGAAUCGAUCGAAGAAACGAUAAAAAUUGCAAAAUUUCCUUUUUCGGUUUGUUUACAAUGCAGGUGCCUUAAUGUCGAGAUAAUUUCAUUAAGAAAAAUAAAGAAUCAAAAAUUG